AGUAUAGUGGUUAGUAUCCCCGCCUGUCACGCGGGAGACCGGGGUUCAAUUCCCCGCCGGGGAGGAUCAAAUCUUUUCUAUACCGGCGAUAUAGAUCAAAUCCGCCGCUAUCUCUGCAGAGUUUCUACUUUCUCCCCGUUGUCGCCUGCGUUUCCUCCGAGAACUAAUAUUCUUUCUUCUUGUGAAAAUCCAAUGGCUUUUAGCAGACCAACAUAAGGUGUAGUACCGCCGCCUACUGAGUUGGAGUGUGGAGCAAAGAGACAGGAAGUAGAGCCACUAAAUUGCUCCUCCGUAGAAACAAACUCAACAUCAAAAAGUCCAGUGCUUUUCAGAAAGUAAAACACGCAUUUGUAUACAUUACGAUGGCAGUGAUAUCCUAACAAACGUUCCAUGUUAAACGGCGUCUCUCAAAUAUCUCAAUUUAGCAACGAGAUGUUUCCUUUGCGCUCAUAGAAACAUGCCGCACCAUUUCCCGACAAGUCCCCUCCGUGGAAAUGCAGGCUCCAGUUCCACAUUUUAAAGACGUAGGUGACAUACACAAAAUACGGGAGAACUUCAGCGGGUCAGGCAGCAUCCAUGGAAAUGAACGAAGAGUAAAUGUUUUGGGCCGAGACGCUUCUUCCGGGCGGGAAAAGGAGGAGGACGGUGAGAAGAGGGGAAGACGAGUGAAGAGAGUGAAGCCAGGUGGGUGGGAAAGGUAAAGGGCUGGAGAUGAAUAUUUGAUAGGAGAGGGCCAUAUCGGCGAAAGCGAAGGAGAAGGGGACUCCAGGAGAAUGUGAUUGGCAGGUGUGAAGAGGUGAGAGGCCAGAGUGGGGGAAUAGAAGAGGGGAGGGAAAGAUCAUUGUUUCUUACUGGAAGGAGAAAUUGAUAUUCAUGCAUUGAGGUUGGAGGCUACCCAGAUGGAAUAUAGGUGUUGCUCCUCCACCCUAAGAGUGACUUAAUCGUGGCAUGAGAGGACACCAUGGACCCACACUUCGCAAGGUGAAUGGGAACCGGAAUUAAACUGAUAGGCCACCAGGAAGUUAGACCAUAAGAAGGAGGGUGGAGUUCUGUCAAAGACCUUGACCAACAGCUGCUCUCAAGCUUCAGUUCUUUACGAUGCUGGUUCCUGCACUUGGGGCUCACCGACCAGCCAUUUUUCGAUAUCUCAAGGACGCGGCCCUGGGGACGAGCUGAUUCCAAGUCGACGCUGAAGCAUCACUGGAGAAAACACAAUAUCAGGAACAGCGGAUCAGCUUUCGAGAGCUCUGUACUCAGAUCACUCUCUUCCUCCUUCUCUCAUUAGAGAGUGGGGGAAAGUUCAUUGCUGAUCCUCGAGUCAGAGAACUUGGAAAAAAGUGACGCAGCGGACUUAAAAACCCUCCUGCAGUGCCUGUCCAAUGUUGGCCUGAGGUGGAAUGGGUAUUGCUACCAGGGUGAUGGUGGAAAACUCCCUGGGCAGAUAAAAUGGACAAGAUUUGACUGCUAGAUGUUCCAGGUCAGCUUGACCUUAUCAACUCCUUUAAAAGAUGAGGUGCCAGAAAAUACUGCAUUGGAAUGUCAAGAUUUAUUAUGAGCUGAGGUCCCUGGAAUUAGCUUGAAUCCAUCGCCCUUGUGUCACAGGAAUACGUGUCAGCCAGUCAAGAUGGUGGAAUUGGGAGAAGUAUCUCAGGAGACACUUGAGAAGGAUUUGUGAUGGACACUGGUGGAGUUCAUGGUCUGUGGCAGGAGAAGAGAAGAUCAGCAGAGACAGCCAUUGAUCUGAUGAGUAGACACAACUGCAAGGACUGCUUUGCGAGAUAAAGGAAUCCAAGAUGGGGAGCUCUACCGGUGACUGGUGGUGAGAAUUCAGCCCCGUAAAUAACAGUUAUAACCAGCUUUUGGAAGAUAAGAGGUGCAACGGUCAUGUGCACAUUUAGACUGGUUUAAAUAGGUCCUGUUUUACUUUCUUUUCUUUCUCUUUUUAACUGUUUGAUAAAGCUGAAAAUAGUAAACGUAAU